AUGACUUUGAUUGAUGAUGCGACUAGAUUUUGCUAUGUUUAUUUGUUGCAAACUAAAGAUGAAGCAUUAGACUACUUUAAAAUCUAUAAAGCUGAAGUUGAAAAUCAACUAGAGAGAAAGAUCAAGCGUCUUAGUGUUCCCAACAAUAAUAAAAAGAAAACCCCUUAUGAGGAGUGGGUUGGGAGAAAACCAUCACUUUCUUAUUUGCGCACUUGCGGAAGUUUGGCAAAGGUCAAUAUUCCUAUUCCUAAGAAACGCAAACUUGGACCAAAGACAGUGGAUUGUGUCUUUCUAGGGUAUGCUCAACGGAGCAUUGCUUAUAGGUUUUUAGUGGUAAAAUCUGAAGUACCUGAUAUGCAUGUUGAUACUAUAAUGGAAUCUCGUGAUGCAACAUUUUUUGAGAACAUAUUUCCUAUGAAAGAUAUGCAUAGUAUUGCUAGAUUGUCUUCUGAGAUAAUUCAUGAAUCUAGUACAACUGAUGAAUAUUUCGAAUAA
rnacentral:rRNA from 1 species